UACGUAGGUGGCAAGCGUUGUCCGGAAUUAUUGGGCGUAAAGCGCGCGCAGGUGGUUUCUUAAGUCUGAUGUGAAAGCCCACGGCUCAACCGUGGAGGGUCAUUGGAAACUGGGGAACUUGAGUGCAGGAGAGAAGAGUGGAAUUCCACGUGUAGCGGUGAAAUGCGUAGAGAUGCGGAGGAACACCAGUGGCGAAGGCGACUCUUUGGCCCGUAACUGACACUGAGGCGCGAAAGCGUGGGGAGCAAACAGG
rnacentral:rRNA from 1 species